rnacentral:rRNA from 1 species
AACGAACGCUGGCGGCAGGCCUAACACAUGCAAGUCGAGCGAGGACUUCGGUCCUAGCGGCGGACGGGUGAGUAACGCGUGGGAACGUGCCCUUUGCUACGGAAUAGCCCUGGGAAACUGGGAGUAAUACCGUAUGUGCCCUUUGGGGGAAAGAUUUAUCGGCAAAGGAUCGGCCCGCGUUGGAUUAGGUAGUUGGUGGGGUAAUGGCCUACCAAGCCGACGAUCCAUAGCUGGUUUGAGAGGAUGAUCAGCCACACUGGGACUGAGACACGGACCAGCCGCCGCCGAGAGGGAGCGGCGGGGUCGCUUAAAUCAUGGCGGAAUCCCUCAUCUAGCCACGCCGCGUUAGAGAUGAAGGUACUAGGGUGGUAAAGUCCUUUCAGUGGGGAAGAUAAUGGCGGUAUCAAUACGAGAAGCCCCGGCUACUGCCGUGCCAGCCGACGCUGUAAAAC